AUCAGUUUUGGAAAAAGGGAAAGGGGGAUGUGAAAAAAAAUGGGGGGGGGGGGGUUCAAUUUUUCUCAUUUCAGAUUUCAUAAAUAAAAAGAAAAUUUCUUUAAACAUUUUUUUGAGAGGAUUAAUAUUCAACAGCAUAGUGAAUUGGUCAAAGGCAAAACAAAAAUUUUAAGUUCAUUAGACCACAUUCAUUCUGUGUCAGAAACCUAUGCUGUGUCAACUAUUUAAUCACAAUCCAAAUUUAGAGCUGAAUCCAGCUUGAAUGUUGUGUCCAUACUUGCCCCAACCGUUCAGAGUUCAACCUCUGC
rnacentral:lncRNA from 1 species